AUACUUACCUGGCAGGCGAGAUACCAUGAUCAUGAAGGUGAUUUUCCCAGGGCGAGGCUUAUCCAUUGCAUUCCAGAUGUGCUGACCCCUGCGAUUUCCCCAAAUUUGGGAAACUCGACUGCAUAAUUUGUGGUAGUGGAGGACUGCGUUCAUGCUUUCCUCUG
ensembl:snRNA U1 U1 spliceosomal RNA